UAUUCCUGUACCUCUUGGUAAUGCGGAUGGGGGGACGGAGAAGGUUAGGUCAGCCGGGUGUUGGACGUCCCGGUUCAAGCGUGUAGGCAGACCUCUUAGGCAAAUCCGGGGGGUUAAUGCUGAGGCGUGAUAACGAGUGGUCUUGUACCGCAAAGUGAUUGAUACCAUGCUUCCAAGAAAAGCCUCUAAGCUUCAGUUACCAGGAGACCGUACCGCAAACCGACACAGGUGGGCAGGAUGAAAAUUCUAAGGCGCUUGAGAGAACUCAGGAGAAGGAACUCGGCAAAAUUUGCACCGUAACUUCGGGAAAAGGUGCGCCCUGAUAGGUUGUAGCCCCUCGCGGGUGAAGGCUGAAAGGGUUGCAGUGAAAUGGUGGCUGCGACUGUUUAAUAAAAACACAGCACUCUGCAAACACGAAAGUGGACGUAUAGGGUGUGACGCCUGCCCGGUGCCGGAAGGUUAAGUGAUGGGGUGCAAGCUCUUGAUCGAAGCCCCGGUAAACGGCGGCCGUAACAAUAACGGUCCUAAGGUAGCGAAAUUCCUUGUCGGGUAAGUUC
rnacentral:rRNA from 1 species